rnacentral:lncRNA from 1 species
UCCAACCCUUGUUGCUAUUUGCAUUUGGCAAAAUAGAUUUUAUUGAAGCAAAAGACGAACCCAUUGGAAAAUCAAAACCUUUCUUCCGUUGUUGGUUUCCAUUCUAUUGCUAACUACUCUCGUUGACGAAGAGCCCGUUGCGAACCGUUGAAGAACCUGUUGAAGACAACUCGUGUUCACUGUUCCGCCGAUCUCCCUCCUUCUCUGUACGUGUUGUAAGCAGUUGGUUGCCAUUGGAUUUUUAAGUAACACUAACGAAAACUCAUCACUGUGUUUUGAUUAGUUAAAUUUAUUUAUUUGCAUUUGGGUUUCUUCUUAUUAGUUGUAUGCCCAUGACAUUGUUUCGCGCGGGUUAAGUCGCUAACAAUUAAAAAGGGUCAGACGAUUGUGUAAGGGACGAAACCUCAUGAGACAAAGUCCCAAAAAGGGGUGUUCUUUUAUUGGCGAUGGACUUUACAAUUGGGAAUGAAAAACAACGUGCCUCCAAGGGGCGCAAGCACACGAGUUACAGAAAAAUGUUUAAGUCUAAAAGCUAAGGAAAUGAAAAUUACAUAUUCUCUGUUCGAGAGUUUUGGAUUCGGUCCUUUGCUUCUGCGUCCUUUCUCCCUUUUAUACCUCCUAGACGAUCUCUUUGUGAUUAACUACCCUGAAAACUGCUUGAUCGUCUUAUAACUUCCCACUUUCUUUGUAGUGGCCAUUUUGUCAUGAAACUGCCUCUUAACUGCUGCCAUUAUCUUUCAUCGUUCAACUUCUUUCGAUUGAAUUCCUUGAGUCGUGGAACGUGAUAAUGCUACUUUAACAACUGCCUUGAUAACUGCAUUCCUUGAUAACCACGAUGCGUUAUAUUUGUUGAUACCUUGGGCGACUUGAAGGUUUGGGCGAGAGUGGAAUAACAGCUCUGGGCGACCGUAUGACACCCCAUUCGUUCAGAUUCUGGGUGACUCGCAAACUUGGGCGAUGGUGUCACCGCAUUCUUGGGCCCCUUAUUUGGGCCUUCACCCUAAUUCGUUUGAUUGGACUUCGUUCUUUAGGCUAUCCGAUUUGGGGAUCCUUCAAUUGGGCUUUAUUCCUUAGGCUGUUCGAUUUGGGCUGAAUUUUUAUGUGUCAACAGACAUAUUUGCUAAAAUGCCUUAUUAGGCGUUCAAACCUUUAAUUAGAGUGUUUAGCUAAAGCUUUUGAUUUUAAUAGCUCUUAAUUCCAAUUCCAAAGCCCCAAUUCAUUGCAUUCGAACAACAUCUGCAAUCUGUUGGAUAGUUUUGCUUUGCUUAAUUGCUUCUAUA